AUGACUGAAGAUUUUUCUUAAUGGAACUCCGACGGACCUUCUCUGUAGCCUGCAACGGGGUUCUUCUGAUGAGUGUUUGGAACUUGAUAUUUGUUGGGGUCUUACUAAUUGCGGUACUUACAUGACUGGAAUGAUUCAAGUUGUUAUCAAGACCAAAUUGAUAAAGUGAUGAGAACUCAACAAGCGCAUCGUGUUCUUCUCAGAUCAUAUAAAUAUAAUGGUGGAUACAUGAUGGUAAUAUUGUCAAAAUUCAUAAUGUUGAUUUAGAGUUAAAAGUAGUUAUGAGAUUGUAUAGUUUUUUAUUUAACUUUUUACGUAGUGUUUAAUUAUAAUAAAGAAUGAAUAAUUCUUGUAUGUACGAGCAUUUGAGAAUUUUAUUUGAUAUGAGACAAAUAAAGUUGCUUUUGUUGUA